rnacentral:rRNA from 1 species
UACGUAGGGCGCAAGCGUUUAUCCGGAAUUAUUGGGCGUAAAGAGCUCGUAGGCGGUUUGUCGCGUCUGCCGUGAAAGUCCGGGGCUCAACUCCGGAUCUGCGGUGGGUACGGGCAGACUAGAGUGAUGUAGGGGAGACUGGAAUUCCUGGUGUAGCGGUGAAAUGCGCAGAUAUCAGGAGGAACACCGAUGGCGAAGGCAGGUCUCUGGGCAUUAACUGACGCUGAGGAGCGAAAAGCAUGGGGGAGCGAACAGG